AGAUUGAACGCUGGCGGCGUGCUUAACACAUGCAAGUCGAGCGGUAACGCGGGAGCAAUCCUGGCGACGAGCGGCGAACGGGUGAGUAAUGCUUGGGAAUCUGCCCAUUAGUGGGGAACAACCAGCCGAAAGGUUGGCUAAUACCGCAUACGCCCUACGGGGGAAAGCGGGGGAUCGAAAGACCUCGCGCUAAUGGAUGAGCCCAAGUCGGAUUAGCUUGUUGGUAGGGUAACGGCCUACCAAGGCGACAAUCCGUAGCUGGUCUGAGAGGACGACCAGCCACACUGGGACUGAGACACGGCCCAGACUCCUACGGGAGGCAGCAGUGGGGGAAUAUUGGACAAUGGGGGCAACCCUGAUCCAGCGACGCCGCGUGUGUGAAGAAGGCCUGCGGGUUGUAAAGCACUUUUAGUGGGGAUGAAAAGCUCAGGGUUAACACCUCUGGGUCUUGACCUAACCACAGAAAAGCACCGGCUAACUCUGUGCCAGCAGCCGC
rnacentral:rRNA from 1 species